GGGGAGUUCGGCAGGCCGCGGUCAUCCGCUCACAUGUUUAGUGUUUUACUCACAGCUCGUACUUUUACACAAAAUGAUGGCUGCUAAUUGUAUUGCAGCCAUCAGGUCCUUCUCUUCCAACAAUACUAAAGCAGUGAUCCCCAACCAGUGGCUCAGGAGCGGCAUGCUGCUCCCCAUCACCUUGGAUGUUGCUCCCAGUGGCCUCAAAGCAGGUGCUUACUUCUGAAAUCCUGGCUUGGAGGCAUAAGGACCAUGGAGCACAUCCAUCAAUGUACAAUUGAGUCUGAAUACUAAAAAUUAAUUUUUUCUCUAA